rnacentral:lncRNA from 1 species
GGCGGAAGAAAAUGAUGCGAAGUACGUUCAGUUGAUGGCGCUGCUUGGAGCCAAAAUAGGGAACUAGGUGGUUUUGGUAAUAGAUUUUGGUAGCAGUACUUGAUAACAGAUCUUGGAAUUAGAUUUUGGUAGAGGUUCUUGUGCACUUGAUAACUAGGUGGUUUUGGUAUUCGAUUUUGGUUGUGCUACAAAUUUAUGGUGUUGGUUGAGAUUUGUGGUUGUGCUACAUAUUUUGAUUGUGCUACAGAUUUAUGGUGUGGGCUAUAUAUUAUUAGAUUUAUGGUGUGGGCUAUAUAUU